rnacentral:rRNA from 1 species
UACGUAGGGUGCGAGCGUUGUCCGGAAUUAUUGGGCGUAAAGGGCUCGUAGGCGGUUUGUCGCGUCGGGAGUGAAAACCAGGUGCUUAACACCUGGCUUGCUUUCGAUACGGGCAGACUAGAGGUAUUCAGGGGAGAACGGAAUUCCUGGUGUAGCGGUGAAAUGCGCAGAUAUCGGGAGGAACACCAGUAGCGAAGGCGGCACUCUGGGCCGUGACUGACGCUGAGGAGCGAAAGCGUGGGUAGCAAACAGG